rnacentral:lncRNA from 1 species
GUGUUAAGCAGUCCCUCCCUAGUUCAGCACCUCUUUAGGACACAGUUAAACAACAGAUCCACUUUAUUCCAUCCCCUUGGAAUAACAUAUUUAAAUUUCUUAUUGGUUUAAUUCGUUUUUCUCACAUCCCGAGUUUUCAAGGUAAAGCCAAGUAAUGUGGAAACUACCUAUUUCUACUGUGUACUAACAUGCAUUUAACUACAGUUGACCUUUGAACAACAGGGGGUGGAAACUGUGUAGGUCUACUUAUGCAUGGAUUUUCUUCCGCCUCUCCUACCUGAGACAGAAGACCUUUGCCUUCUCUUGCUCCUUCUGCUCAGCCUGCUCAACCUGACGGUGAUGAAAACUGAAGCCCUUGAUGAUGAUCCACUUCCGCUUAAUGAAUAGCACUGUAGAAGUCUCGCAUAUAUGAUCAUUUAAAAUUUCGCUGAAGUCAUGUCUGAAUUCUGCACACUGCCUUAUGGAUGUGGGAGAGGUGACUAAACUGAGUCAACGCAGUCAACCACCCAGGACUUGCAAUUCCAGGGGGUUGCAUCCACCUAACCCUCCGGGGUUCUGGCUUCGGAUAGUGUUUGAUCAAUGGAAGCAACAAAAGAAGAUUGGAGGACAUGAAGACAGGUUACUGGAUGAUAUUCGACAUGAGCUGCAAUCCUCCAUCUGAGGUCCCAACUUUUCCAGAAGGCUUCUGUCCUGUUGCGCUCAUUGGAUUCUGCAUUAUGGGAUUCUCUUGAAGUGUGUGAAGAAUAAUGAGCUAAAUAAAGAGGAAAAACAAAAGAAAACAAAAACUGCAGGGACUUUUAUAACUAUCAUUGAUUGCCAGCUUAAGCCUGCUGGACUCUUCACAAAACUAUAUAUGCUUCAAGCUUAAUAUUUAAUUUUGUAAUUGGAACAUUUAUAAUCAUAUUAUGCAUUUAAUAAGGAUGCUCUAAUUCAGAUUUACUAUUAUCAGGAAAUUAAAUUUGGAGUUACAGUAAUGCAUGCAUAUAUAUGUGUGGGUGUGAGUGUGCAUAUACCUAUAUAUGUAUAUACAUAUAUAAAGUAAACGCCUUCUUUUAACGUGUGUUUUAAGUAUAGCUUCCAUGUCCUAGUUAAUUCAGCACCCUCCCUUUUAUCCUUUCCUUGCCAUUGUCCUCUCUACUAGACUACAAUAAAAACAAAAAACUAUGAAAGUAAGCAGCUUAUAAUCAUAAUUUUAAUCAAUGUAGCCUAUGCAAGCUUUAAGAAACAUACGUCUAACAUCUUAGAAAGAAAGCUUAUGAACACAAACAGCAGAAUACUUAAAUACAUUUGAAACAUUCACAUUGAAUUGAUUCUACAAAAUUUUGAAGAGCAACAGCUUUUGAAUUUAGAGCUAUAAUCAGUACCCUAAAGUUUUUACCACUGAGUUACUACCUAGUAAAAAUAUGUUAUAUUUGCAAUAAAAGUACACAUUGUAAGGACAUAAGAAUUGUCAUCAAGGUACACAAACAUUUUAGAAUUAUUAAACAUUUAAAUAAAUGGAAAUUUUAAAAAUAAAAUAACAAUAUUAUCAUACAAGUUAAUGAUCCAGUUUAUUAAUUUCUAAUUCUAUUGAUAAAACAAGGGAUUAUUUUUGAAAGGGUUUUUCUAUCUUUCAUACAAACCCUUUCCAAAAAUGUAUAGAUACAGUACGGAUUCUACCUGAUCAUUCUUGUGCAUAUGGUGAUGUAAGAAACCAAAAAAAUGUAAAUUAUUUUCAUAACACUGUGAAAACCAAUAUUUAAAAAUACAGUGCACAAUUAGUAGUGAGUAACAUAUAUAAAUUUAGAAAUAUUAUAUUUCUGUACACAAAGUAACAUUAUAAAUGAAAGCUUCAGGAAUAAUGAGCUACUUAUUAUUCCGGAAAUUAUAUAUCAAAAAUUUCAAAUAUAGAGGAAAAUUAAAAACCCACUCAUGACCCAUGAAAAUUAAUAACCCAUUCGAUCAUACACUUACCAUGUAACUUUCUGUUAAUUUGGUAAUAAAUAAUGUCAAGAGAUUUUAAAUGAAAAUACUUAUUCUGAAACAUAAAAACAACAUCUGAGAUGAGCACAAAUGGAUCAAUAGAUACAUUAUUGAUUAUUUUGUAUCAUAAAAUACUAUCUAGUACAACAUUCUUUAAAAAAUUCAAUAUUUUUAUAAUGUAAGUAAAACGGGAAGAACUGUUAGAGAAAUGGGCAUCAGAUUUAGAUUAAUUCUGCCUCUAACGCAAAUUGUAGGCUGAGCCCUAUAUGUUCUUGACCAUUCUAAGUUUUACUACAUUAAAACACAUAAAAUAUUCUGCGAGGUUUUCUCCAAUGGGAUUUUGAAUCUCACUGAUGACUGUGAUUUAGGAGUAAUGUAGAGAGUUUUGCAACUAACUUUACUUUACACCGUUACUCCUUUUCUACUUGGGGGUUCAGUUCAACACGCUAGUAAAAGAAAUAGUCAUGAGAGCAUCCUAAGGAAAGUAGGCAAAAUGUUAGUGCCUCAUUAUAUUUACAAUCUUUACAAAACAUGUAUGUCAGUAAACCAUAUUAACAUCUAAAGCACAUGAUAUGUAGAAACAAAUUGUGACUACAAAAUGUGUCUUGUUUCUUAAAUAUGCUAAAUAGGAAAUAAAUCACAUCUACUUCAAUUUUUAAUCUGUGGACUUUGGCCUUAGUUUGUGUUUUAUUUUAUUUUUUUGCUUUUGAUUUUAACCACUGAAAUCAUUUACCAAUACUAUAAGCCAGGAAAUACAAUGUAACUGGCCAGUUGAGAAUUAAGCCUUCUCUUUUUAUUAUUACAAUCAAGGGGGGAAAUGCUUAUAUAUCUUCCUGCACAAAAUGUUUCAUUUAUCAAAAAAAAAAGUGAGAAAAAUAAAGAAAAUUUGGGUGAGAUAAAUAAUCCACAACUAUUAAUUCAACAGAUAUUAUUUAAGAAAUUCCUACCUGUAAUUUAUUUUCUAAUAUUUCUGCAUCCUUAGUAUUUAUCGCUCAAAGAUAUUUGCAGCCCUCAUAGCAGUGCUUGGAAAAGAGAUUUGCUCUGAAAAUUUAGAAAUAAAUUCCUGAGGUGAAUACAGUUCAAAACUAAAAUAUAUUGCUGUAUUAUAUUGGUUUUUCUCAUUUGAAAUUAAAAUCUAAAAAACCUUCAUAUUAGGUUGUGUGUGUCAAGCUGCCAUUAUAAAAACACUAAAUGAAUAAAAUUUCGCAAGCAAGGCAGCAUUAUCAGGCUAAGUACAUGUAGUGGGCUUAUAUAUGGUGAUGUUUUACAUAAUUCAGCUAUUAAUUCAUCUAUAGAUUUACAUUUCUUAAGUGCAAAAAAAAAUGUAAUUAUUUCAUUACAUAUGGAAUUCACCUCCCAAAUUUCUCAGAAUCUAAGAGAAAGGAUUGACAUUUUCUGAUAUUUCAUUUUUGCUUAAAAUUAAGUUCUUAGGAUGUUUAGAUUUUAUUAUAAAUAUUACAACUUAAAUUCCAGAGUUAUAAUGAACGGUCUAUGUUUUGAAACACAGAGGGAGAAUGGGGUAAUGACUGAAGUACUGUUUUUUCAGUUUAUUAGUAAAGAUCAGCUUAUAAGAUGUCAUUGUAAAGGUUUCUAUUGAUAAUUACCAUAAACAAAGAUUAAAACUUUAAAUACUAAGUUCUGGAUUUCUAAGCCCGGUGAAAGUUUGUGCAAUACCAUGCCUUGCAUUUAUGAUUUUUCUUUUAAAAUGAACUAUAAAUGAAGAAAUUUACACAGAAUUGGAAACUAUUCCUACUUUUAUUUGCAUUCUUCCUUCCAUUCAUUGCUAAUGUUCAACAAUAAAGCAUUUUAAUUCUAAA